rnacentral:rRNA from 1 species
AACGCGAAGAACCUUACCAAGGCUUGACAUCCUGCGAAUCCGCUAGAAAUAGUGGAGUGCCUUCGGGAGCGCAGUGACAGGUGUUGCAUGGCCGUCGUCAGCUCGUGUCGUGAGAUGUUGGGUUAAGUCCCGCAACGAGCGCAACCCUUAUCGUAUGUUGAAUUUUUCAUACGAGACCGCCCGGGCCAACCGGGAGGAAGGUGGGGAUGACGUCAGGUCAGCAUGGCCCUUACGCCUUGGGCUACACACGUCAUACAAUGGCCGGUACAACGCGUUGCCAAAUCGCAAGAUGGAGCUAAUCGUACCAAAACCGGUCUCAGUUCGGAUUGCAGGCUGCAACUCGCCUGCAUGAAGUUGGAUUUGCUAGUAAACGUGGGUCAGCAUACCACGUUGAAUACGUUCCCGGGCCUUGUA